GAUGAACGCUGGCGGCGUGCCUAAUACAUGCAAGUCGAGCGAAUGGAUUAAGAGCUUGCUCUUAUGAAGUUAGCGGCGGACGGGUGAGUAACACGUGGGUAACCUGCCCAUAAGACUGGGAUAACUCCGGGAAACCGGGGCUAAUACCGGAUAACAUUUUGAACCGCAUGGUUCGAAAUUGAAAGGCGGCUUCGGCUGUCACUUAUGGAUGGACCCGCGUCGCAUUAGCUAGUUGGUGAGGUAACGGCUCACCAAGGCAACGAUGCGUAGCCGACCUGAGAGGGUGAUCGGCCACACUGGGACUGAGACACGGCCCAGACUCCUACGGGAGGCAGCAGUAGGGAAUCUUCCGCAAUGGACGAUAGUCUGACGGAGCAACGCCGCGUGAGUGAUGAAGGCUUUCGGGUCGUAAAACUCUGUUGUUAGGGAAGAACAAGUGCUAGUUGAAUAAGCUGGCACCUUGACGGUACCUAACCAGAAAGCCACGGCUAACUACGUGCCAGCAGCCGCGGUAU
rnacentral:rRNA from 1 species